UUAGUUUGAUCCUGGCUCAGGAUGAACGCUGGCGGCGUGCCUAACACAUGCAAGUCGAACGAAGCACUUUUGCUGAUUUUCUUCGGAAGAGAAGUGACUGUGACUGAGUGGCGGACGGGUGAGUAACGCGUGGGCAACCUGCCCCAUACAGGGGGAUAACAGCCGGAAACGGCUGCUAAUACCGCAUAAGCGCACGGCACCGCAUGGUGCAGUGUGGAAAACUCCGGUGGUAUGGGAUGGGCCCGCGUCUGAUUAGCCAGUUGGCGGGGUAACGGCCCACCAAAGCGACGAUCAGUAGCCGGCCUGAGAGGGCGACCGGCCACAUUGGGACUGAGACACGGCCCAGACUCCUGCGGGAGGCAGCAGUGGGGAAUAUUGCACAAUGGGGGGAACCCUGAUGCAGCGACGCCGCGUGAGCGAAGAAGUAUUUCGGUAUGUAAAGCUCUGUCAGCAGGGAAGAAGAUGACGGUACCUGACCAAGAAGCUCCGGCUAAAUACGUGCCAGCAGCCGCGGUAAUACGUAUGGAGCAAGCGUUAUCCGGAUUUACUGGGUGUAAAGGGAGCGCAGGCGGCAUGGCAAGUCUGAUGUGAAAACCCGGGGCUCAACCGCGGGAGUGCAUUGGAAACUGCCGGGCUGGAGUGUCGGAGGGGUAAGCGGAAUUCCUGGUGUAGCGGUGAAAUGCGUAGAUAUCAGGAGGAACACCGGUGGCGAAGGCGGCUUACUGGACGACAACUGACGCUGAUGCUCGAAGGCGCGGGUAUCGAACAGGAUUAGAUACCCUGGUAGUCCGCGCGGUAAACGAUGGACGCCCGCCGUGGGGGAUUGAUUUUCCGCGGCCAAGCGAAAGCGUUAAGCGUCCCACCUGGGGAGUACGCCGGCAACGGUGAAACUCAAAGGAAUUGACGGGGGCCCGCACAAGCGGAGGAACAUGUGGUUUAAUUCGAUGAUACGCGAGGAACCUUACCCGGGCUUGAACUGCGGGGGAAUCGGCCGGAGACGGUCGCGCCCUUCGGGGUCCCUGCGGAGGUGCUGCAUGGUUGUCGUCAGCUCGUGCCGUGAGGUGUCGGCUCAAGUGCCAUAACGAGCGCAACCCCCGCCCCCAGUUGCCAUCGGGCGAGGCCGGGCACUCUGGGGGGACUGCCGCCGCAAGGUGCGAGGAAGGCGGGGACGACGUCAAAUCAGCACGGCCCUUACGUCCGGGGCCACACACGUGUUACAAUGGGGCGCACAGAGCGCUGGGUGCGCGCAAGCGCGCCCGAAUCGCGAAACCGCCCCUCAGUUCGGACUGGGGUCUGCAACCCGACCCCACGAAGCUGGAUUCGCUAGUAAUCGCGCAUCAGCCAUGGCGCGGUGAAUACGUUCCCGGGCCUUGUACACACCGCCCGUCAAGCCAUGAAAGCCGGGGGCGCCUGAAGUCCGUGACCGCGAGGGUCGGCCUAGGGCGAGACCGGUGAUUGGGGCUAAGUCGUAACAAGGUAACCGUAA
rnacentral:rRNA from 1 species